GACGAACGCUGGCGGCGUGCUUAACACAUGCAAGUCGAACGGAAAGGCCCUGCUUUUGUGGGGUGCUCGAGUGGCGAACGGGUGAGUAACACGUGAGUAACCUGCCCUUGACUUUGGGAUAACUUCAGGAAACUGGGGCUAUACCGGAUAGGAGCUCCUGCUGCAUGGUGGGGGUUGGAAAGUUUCGGCGGUUGGGGAUGGACUCGCGGCUUAUCAGCUUGUUGGUGGGGUAGUGGCUUACCAAGGCUUUGACGGGUAGCCGGCCUGAGAGGGUGACCGGCCACAUUGGGACUGAGAUACGGCCCAGACUCCUCCGGGAGGCAGCAGUGGGGAAUAUUGCACAAUGGGCGGAAGCCUGAUGCAGCAACGCCGCGUGCGGGAUGACGGCCUUCGGGUUGUAAACCGCUUUCGCCUGUGACGAAGCGUGAGUGACGGUAAUGGGUAAAGAAGCACCGGCUAACUACGU
rnacentral:rRNA from 1 species